UACAGAGGGGGCGUAGCGUUGUUCGGGAAAUCACUGGGCGUAAAGGGCGCGUAGGCGGCUUUGUAAGUCGGGGGUGAAAGCCUGUGGCUCAACCACAGAAUUGCCUUCGAUACUGCAUGGCUUGAGACCGGAAGAGGUAAGUGGAACUGCGAGUGUAGAGGUGAAAUUCGUAGAUAUUCGCAAGAACACCAGCGGCGAAGGCGGCUUACUGGUCCGGUUCUGACGCUGAGGCGCGAAAGCGUGGGGAGCAAACAGG
rnacentral:rRNA from 1 species